GAAUUUGUACCUUAAUCGCAGUCGUCGUUCUUUCAUCUAGUACGUCGUUUCAUUUGGAACAUAUUAGUCGAAGAAUUUUUCUACGAUAAAAUACGGAGCAAAAAAUUGUGGAUUUUUCGUAAUAGUCGAUGUUCAUUGUUCACUCGCGUAAAGCACGUCGUCGUUUUAUUCGGUAUAUUGUAAUUUUACAAUCAGCACCUCUCGAGUACUUCCAUUAAAUUUUUUAAAAAAAUGGAUAUUCGGAUCUUGCUGUUUUUUUUGGUUUUGGUAAUAUCUCUCGUAAGUUCAGGAAGAGUAAAGCAUGCAUCGACGGAAUAUGAAACCAUUGGCGGAAGCGCCAUUUGUAACCGGUCCGAUUCAGAGAAAGUCAAGAUCUGUAAGAGAAUUCGAGGAAUUGGUAAGAAACCAACAGGCGAAUGUGAGAACACCGUAAUUGAAUUCACCGAUAAAAAGGCAUCUUUUGGUAUAUUAAUUUGUUAUGAUGACGGAGGUACACCUUUUGAAUGUGUAUACACCGCUUACGGCACCCCUAUAUACGUUAAUUAUACUGCCGCAGGAAAUAUAAAUACUUGUGAUUAAGUCGUGGAAACUUGGCAAAUGGCAAGUAAUUUUCCUUCAGAUUAUAAAACAAAAUACGUAGCAACCGGUUGCUAUUUCGUUUUAUAAUCUGAUAGAAAAUUACUUGCCAAGUUAAUAGAUCUCGGUUUUUUCCUGUGUAGUGACUUACAGGUUUUUUUCACUGAGAUCUCUGUCAAUCUUUAUAGGUUAUUACGUAAAAUAAGUAGGUACCUACUCAUUUUCUGUUUGUUUUCGUCAUAAUUUUUCAUGAUAAAUAUCGAUUUUUUAUUCAACUUGAA